AUGGAUCCACUGCUGCUUGCAGCCUCAUUCUCUGGUUCCCCGGUAGCACUGCGCCUUCUUCUGGACGGGGAAGGUCCGGCCGUGUGGGCAGACGGGGUGCCAACUCCAGCAUUCCUUGAGUUGCUCCAGCAUGGGGGCACCGACGACGAGGAGGGCGUUGGCAUGGCGACGUCGCUCCCGCUCUCGCCCUCUCUCCUAGACGGAGUCACCGCUGAAGGGGACACCGCAUUGCAUGUGGUGGCCACCAAUGGAGAUGGCGCCAGAUACCUGCGCAGCGCCAGCUUCGUCCACGGAAAGGCCAGACACCUCAUCUACACGGAGCGACACGCCCCUCCACUGCGCCGCCAAGGCCGGGAGAUCUUCCAUGGUCUCCCACCUCGUCGCGCUAGCUCGAGGCGAUGA
rnacentral:rRNA from 1 species